UUUGCUGAACUCAGUAUGCUGUCCAGUUUCCGCAGACAUUUGUCAACUGGCAAGAAGGUUGAAGGCACAUCGACUUGCUUCGAUUAAUUGCUGACAAUUCAACCAGAGGGAGCAGCAAGCGACGGAGGCUCCUAGACCCCAGGGGCUCGCCUGGGUGGCCCAUGCCAGGGAAG